AUUGCUCAAACCUCCGUCAGCUGACAAAUUCAAUUGUUCAUAAAAAUCGUUCAGCGCAGCUAGCUAAAAAGUAAAAAAAAAAAAAAAAAAAAAAAAAAAAAAAAAAAA
rnacentral:antisense_RNA from 1 species